rnacentral:lncRNA from 1 species
GGUCACUGGGCUAACGCAUUAGUGGUAGUAGUUGAGUGGCUUAUUUUCAUCAGGAGGCGUGGCGGGCGGAUCCUGACCCACCUGUCGGGCCUCAACCUCAGGGCUCGCAGGAAGCCCCCCCCCCGCCCCGCCCGGGCCGCAGGGGUGCCCGCCGCCCCCCGCCCGCCCGCAGGUCCCGCAGCGUCUCCCGGGCCGAGCCUCCCGCCGACCCUCCCCCUCCGCUCCCGUCGGGUCCGUCCCCGGGCCUCGAGCUCCCCGCCCUCACUCACCUGCUCCGCGGGCCGCGGCGCACCUGCCGCCUGCACAGCCCGGGGGCCCCGAGCCGAGGGGAGGGGGGAGGCGGGGAGGGGGAGAGGGGAGGCCGCGGGGAGGGGAGCCAGGGAGGCCGCGAGGAGGGGGAGGCCGCGGGGAGGGGAGUCAGGGAGGCCGCGGGGAGGAGAGGGGGGGGGCCCGGGCGGGGAGGAGGGAGGAGGAGGGAGGGGGGAGGCCGCGGGGCGGGGAGGCAGGGAGGGGAGGAGGAAGGAGGGGGGAGGCCGAGGAGCGGGGCGGGGGACGGGCAGAGGGGCUCCGGGGGGAGGGGGCCGGCCGCAGGGAGGGCAGGGGGCAGGCCACGGGCAGGGGGUUGCGGCGGGGAGGGGUGGAGGCCGCGGGGCAGGGGGUGGAGGCCGCGGAAGGAGGGAGCCCUCCUGCGCGCCCGGCCGGGAUGCGGCGCCGGGGAGGCCGCGGCCUUUCCCUCCAGAAGCGGAAGGGGCGGGGGCGGGGGAGGGGGAAGAGGAGGAGGAGGAGGAGGAUGAGGCGGGAGGGGUGGCGCGGGGCUCCGCGGAGGCGGCCCAAGGGCAAGGCGACCCGGCGGCGGUCGCGCUCCCCGGCCGCUCGGCCCUGGCCGCACCCCCUCGGCUGCUCCCGGGCGGCCAGGCCAGGGCACCCACGCGGGGCCGGCGUCCGCGACGUCACAGGUGCUGCCUGGGGGCGGGGCGCCGGGCAGCCCAGGUCCUGGGCCUCCUGGGCCUCCUGGGCCUCCUCCCCGCUCCUAACCUGAACCCUAACCCUGACCCUAACCCCAACCCCUCCUAA